GUGACUGCGUACCUUUUGUAUAAUGGGUCAGCGACUUAUAUUCUGUAGCAAGGUUAACCGUAUAGGGGAGCCGGAGGGAAACCGAGUCUUAACCGGGCGUUAAGUUGCAGGGUAUAGACCCGAAACCCGGUGAUCUAGCCAUGGGCAGGUUGAAGGUUGGGUAACACUAACUGGAGGACCGAACCGACUAAUGUUGAAAAAUUAGCGGAUGACCUGUGGCUGGGGGUGAAAGGCCAAUCAAACCGGGAGAUAGCUGGUUCUCCCCGAAAGCUAUUUAGGUAGCGCCUCGUGAAUUCAUCUCCGGGGGUAGAGCACUGUUUCGGCUAGGGGGCCAUCCCGGCUUACCAACCCGAUGCAAACUGCGAAUACCGGAGAAUGUUAUCACGGGAGACACACGGCGGGUGCUAACGUCCGUCGUGAAGAGGGAAACAACCCAGACCGCCAGCUAAGGUCCCAAAGUCAUGGUUAAGUGGGAAACGAUGUGGGAAGGCCCAGACAGCCAGGAUGUUGGCUUAGAAGCAGCCAUCAUUUAAAGAAAGCGUAAUAGCUCACUGGUCGAGUCGGCCUGCGCGGAAGAUGUAACGGGGCUAAACCAUGCACCGAAGCUGCGGCAGCGA
rnacentral:rRNA from 9 species